CGCAGGACGUUGAGCUGCUAUAGCAACGGCUCCAGCUUGUUCCCGGAAACUGGACAGGUGAAGGACUCGUUUAGCAUGCUAGUCAAGUUGUCUGUGACUGUAACUAGCGCCUUAACUAAUUCAGUUCAUGGUGUAAUGACAAAUAAGUGAUCUCUUCCGGUGUUUUUUUCAGCGGGGGAGAACGCCAUGACUGUCCGGUUCAAGUGUCAGAGUGAAUAUCAGAAAAGCUACAAGGCUUCCCGGUCAAGAAGUGUUUCUCCUCAGCGCUGUGCCCAUUUGCCGGCCUGCGCUCUGACCAGAUGGACAGACAAACUACUCAUGACUGGGUUACUCACAGAAUCAGCUGCAAUGUGAGUCCUCUGAUUCAGAUUUGGCUGCAUACACAAUCCGCUACACUGUGAAUCCUCUGAUUCAGAUUUGUCCUUUCAGGUGUGACUGGGUAAUUCUCGCUCAAAUGACUCAAGUGACACAAGUAACAUGUACUAUCUGGAUCCUAUCAGUGACUGAUUCAGAAUGAUCCAGAUUCUUAAAAUGAUCUGAGAUUCCCAUGACGACACAGCACCACCCCAACACAGUUUUUUUUUUUUCAUAUUUAUAUUAAUAAGAGUAAGAUAAAUAAAAGCUAAAUCUGGCGACAUGUAGUUCUAUCCUUAUGGCUACUGUGCUUGGUGAGGACAGUUUAAUAUCACCACAAAAGAUGCCAUGAGGUCACUGCUGAUGGAAAUGUAUGUAGAUGCUAAUUUUUUUGUAGGAAGCCCCCACCUCAUAAAAACUAUACAUGCAAGAAUCAUAUAUUGCCAAUGGGUCGGAGGCUAAAUCACCAUUUUGUUAACUCAUUUGGCAUUUCAGAAGACUUAACAUGCCAGGACUCACUAGGACUU